rnacentral:rRNA from 1 species
UACGAAGGGUGCAAGCGUUACUCGGAAUUACUGGGCGUAAAGCGUGCGUAGGUGGUUUGUUAAGUCUGAUGUGAAAGCCCUGGGCUCAACCUGGGAACUGCAUUGGAAACUGGCUGACUAGAGUGCGGUAGAGGGGUGUGGAAUUCCCGGUGUAGUGGUGAAAUGCGUAGAUAUCGGGAGGAACACCAGUGGCGAAGGCGACUACCUGGCCUGUUCUUGACGCUGAGGCGCGAAAGCUAGGGGAGCAAACGGG